AAAAUUUUAAGUUAAACAAACUAAUGGUUUUCAAAACCAUAAUUAACUUUUGUUAAAUUUUA
rnacentral:tRNA from 1 species